GAUGAGGACUUUGGGUCUGGCUUCUGGUCAGUACUAAAAGGACCAAAUCUUUUUUCUGGAAGAGUCAAAGUGUACUUGACUGUACGCUUUGAGGAACCAGGACGAUUACCUUGAGAAAAAUAGAGUGUUCAAAGCAGGCUUAUGCUUGAAUACAUUAGCAUGGAAUAAUAAAAUAGGACUUUGGUUCUAUUUUGUUGGUUUAAGGACCAAUGUC
rnacentral:rRNA from 1 species